rnacentral:rRNA from 1 species
AUUAAAAACCAAUGCCCUUCGGGGCUCCUUGGUGAUUCAUGAUAACUUCGCGAAUCGCAUGGCCUUGCGCCGGCGAUGGUUCAUUCAAAUUUCUUCCCUAUCAACUUUCGAUGUUUGGGUAUUGGCCAAACAUGGUUGCAACGGGUAACGGAGGGUUAGGGCUCGACCCCGGAGAAGGAGCCUGAGAAACGGCUACUACAUCCAAGGAAGGCAGCAGGCGCGCAAAUUACCCAAUCCCGACACGGGGAGGUAGUGACAAUAAAUACUGAUACAGGGCUCUUUAGGGUCUUGUAAUUGGAAUGAGUACAAUUUAAAUCCCUUAACGAGGAACAAUUGGAGGGCAAGUCUGGUGCCAGCAGCCGCGGUAAUUCCAGCUCCAAUAGCGUAUAUUAAAGUUGUUGUGGUUAAAAAGCUCGUAGUUGAACCUUGGGCCUGGCUGGCCGGUCCGCCUCACCGCGUGCACUGGUCCGGCCGGGCCCUUUCCCUCUGUGGAACCCCAUGCCCUUCACUGGGC